AUUGAACGCUGGCGGCAUGCCUAACACAUGCAAGUCGAGCGGAGCUGCGGACGGGUGAGUAAUGCCUAGGAAGCUGCCCGGCAGUGGGGGAUAACGUCCGGAAACGGGCGCUAAUACCGCAGACUUCCAGAUGAGCCUAUGGGGGAUUAGCUCGUUGGUGGGGUAAAGGCCUACCAAGGCGACGAUCCGUAACUGGUCUGAGAGGAUGAUCAGUCACACUGGAACUGAGACACGGUCCAGACUCCUACGGGAGGCAGCAGUGGGGAAUAUUGGACAAUGGGCGAAAGCCUGAUCCAGCCAUGCCGCGUGUGUGAAGAAGGUCUUCGGAUUGUAAAGCACUUUAAGUUGGGAGGCGUUACCGACAGAAUAAGCACCGGCUAACUUCGUGCCAGCAGCCGCGGUAAUUC
rnacentral:rRNA from 1 species